rnacentral:rRNA from 1 species
UACGUAGGGGGCAAGCGUUGUCCGGAAUCAUUGGGCGUAAAGCGCGUGUAGGCGGUUCGGUAAGUCUGCUGUGAAAGUCCAGGGCUCAACCCUGGGAUGCCGGUGGAUACUGUCGGACUAGAGUACGGAAGAGGCGAGUGGAAUUCCCGGUGUAGUGGUGAAAUGCGUAGAUAUCGGGAGGAACACCAGUGGCGAAGGCGGCUUCCUGGCCUGUUCUUGACGCUGAGGCGCGGAAGCUAGGGGAGCAAACGGG